GGAGGAGUGCGAGAGUGGUUGAAUCGGGUCGCCUCGAAAGCGACUAGGCCCGCAAGGGCCUCGAAGGUUCGAAUCCUUCCUCCUCCGCCA
rnacentral:tRNA from 1 species